AAAUUAAACACGCAGUUUGGCUACAUAUCAAAGAAAGAAUACUGAGGUGCAAGUUGCAUCAGACAUAGCAGUUGCAACAUGCCAACAUAUAUAUUCAAACUAAACAGAAACAGUUUCAGACAGGUUACAACAACAUCAUGACCCAGAAGCCUGGAACAUCAUGAGCUGAUGAUGUUCACCAACGACCACCGCCGCCGCCUCCAGGCCCACCACCACCGCCGCCGCCAGGUCCACCACCACCACCGCCGCCACGUCCACCGCCGCCCCAUCCCCCACCGCCACCAGGUCCGCCCCCAGGUCCACCGCCGCCCCAUCCACCGCCGCCACCAGGUCCACCACCGCCACCAGGUCCACCACCGCCACCAGGUCCUCCGCCGAACAUUGGCCCACAGCAGCCCUCAAGCAGGCAGCAGCAGCACAGGAAAUAAGCACUGCAGUAGUAGUACACACCAAGAUGAUAUAAGUAAGAAAAAAAUUGAAAACAAUGAUAUAAGCAGCUAGCUGAUGAAGCUACAUUUUGGAUAAUUUCACGGAUAAUACUUAUAUUAUCCUGACUAGUCAGACAUGAUUUUACUCGUAAAUAAACAAUUUCUGAGUUUUACUAAACUCACCAAGAUGAUAUAAAGUUGCUUAGACCGCCACAUAGGAAACCUAAGCAAUCUCCUCCCGGUCCUCCUCCUCC
rnacentral:lncRNA from 1 species